rnacentral:rRNA from 1 species
GAUGAACGCUGGCGGCGUGCCUAAUACAUGCAAGUCGAGCGAACAGACGAGGAGCUUGCUCCUCUGACGUUAGCGGCGGACGGGUGAGUAACACGUGGAUAACCUACUUAUAAGACUGGGAUAACUUCGGGAAACCGGAGCUAAUACCGGAUAAUAUAUUGAACCGCAUGGUUCAAUAGGGAAAGACGGUUUUGCUGUCACUUAUAGAUGGAUCCGCGCCGCAUUAGCUAGUUGGGAAGGGAACGGCUUACCAAGGCGACGAUGCGUAGCCGACCUGAGAGGGGGAUCGGCCACCCUGGGACUGAGACACGGUCCAGGCUCCUACGGGAGGCAGCAGUAGGGAAUCUUCCGCAAUGGGCGAAAGCCUGACGGAGCAACGCCGCGUGAGUGAUGAAGGUGUUCGGAUCGUAAAACUCUGUUUUUAGGGAAGAACAAAUUCUGGAGUAACUGAUGACGUCUUGACGGUACCUAAUCAGAAAGCCACGGCUAACUACGUG